GGAGGUAUUGGCCCUCCGUCGUUGGCUGACAGGAGCGAGCGACAAAUCGCCAUAACGCUGCAUUAGUUAAGAGCUUUUGUGGUGAGCGGUUAUGGAAAAGGCGUAAUAUGAUUACGUCAGA
rnacentral:ncRNA from 1 species